rnacentral:rRNA from 1 species
GACGAACGCUGGCGGCGUGCCUAAUACAUGCAAGUAGAACGCUGAAGAGAGGAGCUUGCUCUUCUUGGAUGAGUUGCGAACGGGUGAGUAACGCGUAGGUAACCUGCCUGGUAGCGGGGGAUAACUAUUGGAAACGAUAGCUAAUACCGCAUGAUAUUAAUUGUCGCAUGAUAAUUAAUUGAAAGAUGCAAUUGCAUCACUACCAGAUGGACCUGCGUUGUAUUAGCUAGUUGGUGAGGUAACGGCUCACCAAGGCGACGAUACAUAGCCGACCUGAGAGGGUGAUCGGCCACACUGGGACUGAGACACGGCCCAGGCUCCUACGGGAGGCAGCAGUAGGGAAUCUUCGGCAAUGGGGGGAACCCUGACCGAGCAACGCCGCGUGAGUGAAGAAGGUUUUCGGAUCGUAAAGCUCUGUUGUAAGAGAAGAACGGGUGUGAGAGUGGAAAGUUCACACUGUGAC